rnacentral:rRNA from 1 species
CACGUAGGGGGCAAGCGUUGUCCGGAUUUAUUGGGCGUAGAGAGCUCGUAGGCGGCUUAGUAAGUCGGGUGUGAAACCUCCAGGCUCAACCUGGAGACGCCACCCGAUACUGCUGUGGCUAGAGUCCGGUAGGGGAGCGUGGAAUUCCUGGUGUAGCGGUGAAAUGCGCAGAUAUCAGGAGGAACACCGGUGGCGAAGGCGGCUUGCUGGGCCAGUUCUGACGCUGAGGAGCGAAAGCGUGGGGAGCGAACAGG